CCUACGGGAUGCUGCAGUGAGGAAUAUUGGUCAAUGGACGCAAGUCUGAACCAGCCAUGCCGCGUGCAGGAAGACGGCUCUAUGAGUUGUACACUGCUUUUGUACGAGGGUAAACGCAGAUACGCGUAUCUGUCUGAAAGUAUCGUACGAAUAAGGAUCGGCUAACUCCGUGCCCGCAGCCGCGGUAAUCCGGAGGCGUCAAGCGUUAUCCGGAUUUAUUGGGUUUAAAGGGUGCGUAGGCGGUCGGAUAAGUUAGAGGUGAAAUCCCGAGGCUUAACUUCGGAAUUGCCUCUGAUACUGUUCGGCUAGAGAGUAGUUGCGGGAGGCGGAAUGUAUGGUGUAGCGGUGAAAUGCUUAGAGAUCAUACAGAACACCGAUUGCGAAGGCAGCUUACCAAGCUACUUCGGACGUUGAGGCACGAAAGCGUGGGGAGCAAACAGGAGUAGAUACCCGGGUAGUC
rnacentral:rRNA from 1 species